rnacentral:rRNA from 1 species
UACGAAGGGGGCUAGCGUUGCUCGGAAUCACUGGGCGUAAAGCGCACGUAGGCGGCUUCUUAAGUCAGGGGUGAAAUCCUGGAGCUCAACUCCAGAACUGCCUUUGAUACUGGGAAGCUCGAGUCCGGGAGAGGUGAGUGGAACUGCGAGUGUAGAGGUGAAAUUCGUAGAUAUUCGCAAGAACACCAGUGGCGAAGGCGGCAUCCUGGACCGAGAUUGACACUGAUGAGCGAAAGCCAGGGGAGCAAACGGG